rnacentral:misc_RNA from 1 species
CGCCGAAGGUGGGGCUAAUGACUGGGGUGAAGUCGUAACAAGGUAGCCGUACCGGAAGGUGCGGCUGGAUCACCUCCUAACAGGGAGACAAAAAUUGAUUAUGAAGUCUGAAUUUCAAUUUCAGGCCAUAGUCCUGUCACCUUAGGUCGAUCGGUACCUCAGAUUGAUUUUGUCGGUUAAAUAAAGAGCAAUCUUCUUUUAUAAGGCUUUCAGUUUCAGUUCCUAAACUUGUCUAGGUCACACCCAACAAACUUUCUUCUGGGCUAUUAGCUCAGGUGGUUAGAGCGCACCCCUGAUAAGGGUGAGGUCCCUGGUUCAAGUCCAGGAUGGCCCAUUCGUUGUUGGGGGUAUAGCUCAGUUGGUACAGCGCCUGCUUUGCAAGCAGGAUGUCAGCGGUUCGAGUCCGCUUACCUCCACUGAUCAACUGCCUGAUAACUCAAUU